rfam:Ovis aries breed Texel chromosome 2, whole genome shotgun sequence.
UCCCUGGUGGCUCAGAUGGUAAAGAAUCUGCCUGCAAAGCAGGAGACCCAGGUUCAAUCCCUGGGUUGGGAA